UAGAAACGUCCUGAAGCGACCUU
rnacentral:siRNA from 1 species